CACCGGACACCACAUUCACAUCAGGCUCCUUCUUGGCCCUUAAAACCAAGUGGACUCACUGGGGUAACUGGGGGAAAGGAUGAAAACUUGUUCCAUAAGGAACUGUCUGAGGUAC